CCCCCCCCCCCCCCCCCCCCCCCCCCCCCCCCCCCCCCCCCCCCCCCCCCCCCCCCCCCCCCCCCCCCCCCCCCCCCCCCCCCCCCCCCCCCCCCGCCCCGCGAUCCCCGCGCUGAGGGCGGGACGGGAGCGCGUCCUGGUCCCGGCGCCUUCCCGGGCUUCGAAACGCCUCUCACCCCCCUCAGAGGCUCUGGAGUCACCAUAAAGCACACAUUCACCGCAACACAGAUCUGACGAGUGCAGGAGGUGGAGGCCUUCUCGGGCCAUCACGGGCAGGAGCGCGCAAGUCCCUGAGGGAGAGCUAGCGGAGGGCUUCGGGCGUGGGAUUGCAGAAUGGAGACGGAUGCAGAGUAAUCCUGUUGCCUAAAUACACACACAGAUUCGAGGCACAUAUUUCACAUUCCAGUUGCAACUCUCAUGUCUGUGUGAGCUGGAAGUCUCAAGGUCAAGGUUUGGGUUUUCCUUACAUCACAAGGAAGACAAGAAAGCAACCAGUUGGCAAAGAAGGAACCAAUUCCCCACGUGCCUUUGUUUUAAAUGCCAAAAAUAUUAAUGAACUGAUGAACAAAUUUCACAAGUGCAUGAGAGGACAUGACACUGUCAAGCAUGCCAAAGGAACAAAGUCAAAUCAAAAAGGCACAAUGUCACCCUUGGGAGAAGAAGAGGAGGUGUGCAGCUUUCACUGCUGUGGUGCACGAGAGCCUGAGGUUGAGGCGACGACCUUCGGGAUUCCUGCAAGAUUCAGCUGCUUACCCAGCUCUUCUCUGCAGGUGUGAGGAAGGGUCGUAUGAGUUAUUGCAUGUGUUUUGUUGAAGUUGGUGAUUUUUUUGGUGUGUGUGGUUCACUCACAGGAUGAAACAAGUCUGUGAAAACUCAAAGUGCAUCAUUGCUUUCAGAGGAUAAGUUUCAUCUUGUCAUUUAUAGCAAUUUUUUUUUCCCUGAAGAUAAAAACCAAAAGUGCGUUUUAUAACUGUGGGCUAUUAUUCAAAAAUUUCUGUCUCAUGUAGUUUUGUAC
rnacentral:lncRNA from 12 species